rnacentral:lncRNA from 1 species
UUUCUACUUCUAUCUGCCCCACUUGCUCGGAUUGCUUCGAGCAUCGACAGGCACAGAUGGUUGGGGCCUGAAAAUGGCACACUAGAUUGAGUAUCUUGCAAUGCAAGCAAAGCACUGGGGUAUAAGUAAAGAAAUGGCGAGCACCUUUUUGCAUCGGAGGUCUGUCAGGCAAUGGUAAGUUAUCUUUCUCCAUGGAACUGCCAAGUUGUGGUGAAUUGUCCUUUUCAGCAACAGACUCAUUAACUGAUCCUACUGUUUCAAUGGCCUGUGAGAAGAAACACACAUAAAUAAGCAUAGAAGGAAGGAGAAGUUUGAAAAUACAGAUGAUCUGGAAGUUACCAAGCUCUCUUUGUCUGUGUCAACAAACUGCUUUGUCUUUAAAAAGAAUGCACUGAGAUUUUGCACUAACAUACUUGAACAGCUUCAGAGAUUCCAGUAAUCACUCUAAUGACAUCUACGCAAGCAAAGAAGAGUUAUUAUAAAAUCACCACCAAACAAACGAGAGAAAAGAUGAUUAGUCACAAAAUCACUUGUAAAGCGUUCAGGCAUAUCUGUAGGCCUAGGGAGCUGAGCUAUUGGAGUCAAUGCAUACGUACAGAAGGGGAACUCUGCUUCCAUUCCAGUUCUCUCCACAAGUUCAGUGCGCUUUAUAAACUUAAUCAUUAAAUGACCUUCCACUGGUCUAAAAACAUACUUCCACGGGAAUACCAGGAACUUCUGAAACUCGACGGUGUACAAAACUGCAAAGCAAAGCAAAACAACAGAAAAUGAGAUAGAAAAACAAGAAGCCUUAAACAUCAGUCAGAAAUUUCAAGCUGUAGUUGCAUGGAAAUGGUAAAUAAAAUGGUACCGGCGUUUAUAGGACCAUAGGCAUGGCCUGACUGGAUUUCAUCUAGAUAUUCGUUAAGCUUCAUCUUAGUAAUCUCAAGCCACAUUGGACUACAUGUAAAAAUAGUAAAAGUAUCAGGGGCCUCAUCCACUCAACAAAUUGUAAGACCAUCCUGAAAGUUCUCCUGGUAGUAACGCCGACCAGUGGUAUGGCUGGACGGCACAAUCGUUUUCAUCGGCAAAAGAGAACCAAUAAGAUGAUGGACCUGACCACAAAUUUUGAAGAUAUUAACCCCCGCGUGCCUUCCAGCGAACGAAUGACGUCGCCACAAUAGACGUAAAUGCCGUCCAACUGUGAUGCGGUAUCUUUGUCAGGAAUUGCUUGGAAACACGAUCACCAUGACAUGAUAAUAAAUGACUCAAUAAAGCAGGAGGAUUUCUGAAAGGUUUAACAACGACUUUUCCACCUUUGCAACAAAGGUUAUAAACAAUUUUACGUAACACACAUGAAGAAUAUGGAUUGGCCCUCUCCUCAAACCAAAAAGAAGCCUUGCAGAGAGGGCACUGGUACUCAGGAGGACCAUAGUAAGAUCUGUCCUUAUAGGAAACUACAGAAAACACAAUACUCAAGGAGGCCGUCAUGACAGGAAAAGGAAAAAACAAAACUAACAUCAACCUAAUAGUUAGUACCUUUGCGAUUGUCAACUACCUCGACAGGAAAACCAGUCCAAUCAGUUGGCAAGUCCCCUUCAAACCAAAGAUCUACAUGCAUGUUGUUAUGAGAAACAACAGCCAAAACAAAGAUACUAAGGACGGAAAGACAGGAACCCCGACCAAGAAAACCAGUACAUGUAACACCAUGGCAACGAAGGCCCCUAAGUAAUUUAUGCCUCUUCCGAUUUCUAGCCAACAUGGCAGGAGUGAGCACUGGGAACCAGGCAUCCCCUAGAAAACGACAGAACCGACACAAAUGAACAGAUGCAAGCCAAACAAAACCUAAGGAAAUGACCAUAUAGACAACAUACCAUUUCUCUUACGAAUACCACAAACACCAACAACAGGAGCAUGCAAAACACGCCGACGGCGAGCCAUCAUCAGCAAUGAGCACACAUAUAUGCAAAUACUGCAUAUUAAGACGAAAGCGAAGUAAAGACAGCACAGGUAAAUGCAAAAAAGUAUCAAACAGGAGCACAAGAGACAGUAGAGCCAAUUAAAUGAAAUAAUAAUGAUUCAUGCAUACAAAGAGAUGUUUAUUACAAGCAUACCCAAGGGAACAAUAUAAUGACCCAGACAUAAUCUAUCUAAGACACUCCUAGAUGGGCCUUAGAACCCAGACACCGAAUUGACCAGCUAUGAAUACAAUAAUUGUAAUUGAACACUUGUAUUUAUACCAGCGACAUCAACCUGCCCGCCUGCAUGUACCAGAGGCCAGGCAGGCUGGGCAAGCGCACCUGCAAGCACCAGAACCGACUGCGCAACACCUUUUAUAUGCUAACAUGCUAUCGUAAUUGUAAUCUGCAACAACAAACCCAUAUAUCCCUUGUAAAAAUUGGUUUGACACGGCACCACGUCAUCCCUAGUAAGAACAUCAAUCUCCACCCCUCCAAGCAGAAAACCAUCAGAUGCCACCACUCAAACAUAAGAAUGAAAUGGCAAUCGACAAUAGGUCGCAACAGCCUCAAGCAGAGGCACACAGGAAGAACUGAUAAUAAAAAUGCUUAUAAUAAUUAAUUAUUAAGGAGCAACCGGAAAAAUACCAACGCAGACCAUACAAAGGGAAGAACACAGAAGCCUAUGAAAUAAAUAGUAAUAAACACAACUAAAUAGCAAGCAAUAGGAAACAUAGCAAGGCACGACUUACCCUAUGAACCGAGCAGCAGCUCCACCAGUAAGUAGUUUCCAACAACAAAGUGCAACCCAAGAACUCAGUUGUAACUGAAACAAGCUGCCAAACAGAAAGUAAGGACCAUGAAAGAAAGCAAGGCAAAUUAAUAAACAGAGAAAUCAUAUGUAGAAGCAAUGAAGUCUGUAAUUGAGAAGCGCAGAUAAUCACUAAAGCAGAGAACUAACAUAACAUAAUAGCUGAAGGUGGCAAGCAAAAACAAGCAGACCCGAUGAGCAUAGCAAGCGUGAAACGCAUUCAGGAGCAGUUGGUCAACAUGCAAAGACACAGAAUGAAAGCCUAAAGCAUGGGCACCAGAUAACUGAAUCUCGCAGCAAGAAGCUAACAGCAGACACCCCCUAUUAGAAGGCACCCUCAUUAGCAGAACUGUAAACACAUCAAGCACACAAUCUCAAAUUCUCUUUGUAACCAACCAUGCCAAGUUGCCAACCAUCAUGGACAACAUCUUAACAGCCCGGCGGAGCUCAAAUCCAACACUCUCUUCCUAAUCAAACAUCCACCAUUAAGACAAGGCAAACAUCCAGCACUGAGACCAUUAUAACAAGAAGAGGGAUACCCAACCAUAAUAACUUAGGCAGACCAAAUCAAUUGACAGAGGCCAAUUAACAGACCAAACCCUUUAUUUUUUUCACACGUCACCUGACAAAGAAUAAUGUCACCAAACCAGUCCAAAAGGCGCAUACCCUGGUACAUCGACCUCUUCUGAAAAUCUCACUACAAUCGUAGAGAGAGAAUGCCGGCCCUAGCAAGAUCUAGACAACUAAGAAAAAAACACCUGUCACGCACAAGCAAACAAAGGAG